UGGGGAAUAUUGGACAAUGGGCGCAAGCCUGAUCCAGCAAUGCCGCGUGUGUGAAGAAGGCCUUCGGGUUGUAAAGCACUUUUAUCAGGAGCGAAAUCUGCAGGGCUAAUACCCAUGCAGUCUGACGGUACCUGAGGAAUAAGCACCGGCUAACUCCGUGCCAGCAGCCGCGGUAAUACGGAGGGUGCAAGCGUUAAUCGGAAUUACUGGGCGUAAAGCGUGCGUAGGCGGUUCGUUAAGUCUGUUGUGAAAGCCCCGGGCUCAACCUGGGAAUGGCAAUGGAUACUGGCGAGCUAGAGUGUGUCAGAGGAUGGUGGAAUUCCCGGUGUAGCGGUGAAAUGCGUAGAGAUCGGGAGGAACAUCAGUGGCGAAGGCGGCCAUCUGGGACAACACUGACGCUGAGGCACGAAAGCGUGGGGAGCAAACAGG
rnacentral:rRNA from 1 species